rnacentral:rRNA from 1 species
CCUACGGGAGGCAGCAGUGGGGAAUCUUGCACAAUGGGGGAAACCCUGAUGCAGCGACGCCGCGUGAGCGAUGAAGUAUUUCGGUAUGUAAAGCUCUAUCAGCAGGGAAGAAAAUGACGGUAACUCACUAAGAAGCCCCGGCUAACUACGUGCCAGCAGCCGCGGUAAUUCGUAGGGGGCAAGCGUUAUCCGGAUUUACUGGGUGUAAAGGGAGGGGUGACGGGGGUGGAAGGUAGAUGUGAAAGCCCGGGGGCAAAACCCGGGACUGUUUUUGGAAAUGCGCUGCGAGAGUGUCGGAGAGGCAGGCGGAAUUCCUAGUGUAGGGGUGAAAUGCGUAGAUAUUAGGAGGAACACCGGUGGCGAAGGCGGCCUACUGGACGAUGACUGACGUUGAGGCUCGAAAGCGUGGGGAGCAAACAGGAUUAGAUACCCCUGUAGUC